AACAAGUGCCUUUAUUUUUCGAGUUGGCAUUGGAUUAUUCAUCAAUACCAUUUUUUUUUUCUUUCAAAUCUUUACAUUUCUUCUGGAUCCCAGGCCAAAGUUCCAUGACUUGAUCAUCUGCCACUUGGUCCUCAGUCAUAUUCUAAUGCUCCUUACUGCAGUGGAUUUUUUUCCUCAAGUUGUGUUUGAAUCACUGAAUUUGGGAAUGGCUUUAAAUGUAAGCUAUUAUUUUACACAAAAAGGGUGAUAAGAGGCAUCUCCCUCUGUCCCCCCUGGCUCUUGAGUGUGCUCCAGGCCAUCACCGUCAGUCCCAGAAACUCAUGGUUGGCAAGGUUUAAACAUAAAUUUACAAAUUACAUUACCAAUGUUUUUCUUCUUUUUUGGUUCUUCAAUUUGUCUUUUAGUAGCAGCCUAAUCUUCUUCACUGUGUAUUUUUCAAAUGUGACUCAGACUGAUCUAUUGAAUGUCAGUAAACACUGCUCACUUUUCCCCAUGAACCUCAUCAUCAGGGAGUGAAAUUAUCCAGGGAUGCCUUCCUUGUCAGAGUUAUGCUGCUCUCAAGUGCAUUCAUGUGGAUCCUCUUUUUCAGAAAUCAGAAGCAAUCCCAGCUCCACAGCACCAGCAUCUCUCCAAGAAUCUCCUCAGAGAAAAGGGCCACCCAGACCAUCCUGCUGUUAUGAGUUGCUUUGUGGUCAUGUAUCCUAUGAACCUUCUUAUUUCAACAUCCUCA
rnacentral:lncRNA from 1 species